CAGUGCAAGACGGUAUAUUCCUGAUGUACUAGGCUGGGAGCUGGGGAGAUUUGCUCUCAAUGUCAUGGCUAGACUGAAGUCUAGAGAAGACCUCUGAGAUAAUGGACUAUAACUAGUAUGGGUCCUAAUGGCAAGUGUAAUGAAGAUGUGGGGUUAAGGUGACUAGAAGACAAGUCUGUGACAACAUACCAUGAUCCAUGUAGAACCUAUGCCUGCUUUUCCAAAGUCUCUGAAACUUGUCAGAAAAUUGGGGCUGCAUUGUAGACCAUCCUAGCACUAGGCAGAGGCACAAAAGCAAGAAGACUGCAAGACUUCACAGGUAUU